rnacentral:rRNA from 1 species
AUUGAACGCUGGCGGCAUGCCUUACACAUGCAAGUCGAACGGUAACAGGUCUUCGGAUGCUCACGAGUGGCGAACGGGUGAGUAAUACAUCGGAACGUGCCCGAUCGUGGGGGAUAACGGAGCGAAAGCUUUGCUAAUACCGCAUACGAUCUACGGAUGAAAGCAGGGGACCGCAAGGCCUUGCGCGGACGGAGCGGCCGAUGGCAGAUUAGGUAGUUGGUGGGAUAAAAGCUUACCAAGCCGACGAUCUGUAGCUGGUCUGAGAGGACGACCAGCCACACUGGGACUGAGACACGGCCCAGACUCCUACGGGAGGCAGCAGUGGGGAAUUUUGGACAAUGGGCGAAAGCCUGAUCCAGCCAUGCCGCGUGCAGGAUGAAGGCCUUCGGGUUGUAAACUGCUUUUGUACGGAACGAAAAGACUCUUUCUAAUAAAGAGGGUCCAUGACGGUACCGUAAGAAUAAGCACCGGCUAACUACGUG